rnacentral:rRNA from 1 species
AGGAUUAACGCUGGCGGCGUGCAUGAAACAUGCAAGUCGAGCGCGGUGUGAUGCGGGGUAACCCAAUUCACAUCUAGCGGCGAACGGGUGAGUAACACGUGAGCAACCUACCUUUGAGUUGGGGAUAGCCCUGGGAAACCAGGAUUAAUACCCGAUGUGGUCACAACAGGACAUCCUGAUGUGAGUAAAGGCGCAAGCCGCUCAAUGACGGGCUCGCGGCCUAUUAGCUUGUUGGUGGGGUAACGGCCUACCAAGGCGAUGAUGGGUAGCUGGUCUGAGAGGACGAUCAGCCACACUGGGACUGAGACACGGCCCAGACUCCUACGGGAGGCAGCAGUUAGGAAUUUUCCGCAAUGGGCGAAAGCCUGACGGAGCAACGCCGCGCGAGUGAUGAAGACCUUAGGGUUGUAAAGCUCUGUCGGAGGGGAAGAACACAAUGACGGUACCCUCCAAGAAACGCCCGGCUAACUACGUGCCAGCAGCCGCGGUAAU